rnacentral:rRNA from 1 species
GACGAGCGCUGGCGGCGCGCCUAACACAUGCAAGUCGAACGGAGUCAAGAGGAGCUUGCUUUUCUUGACUUAGUGGCGAACGGGUGAGUAACGCGUGAGUAACCUGCCCUGGAGUGGGGGACAACAGUUGGAAACGACUGCUAAUACCGCAUAAGCCCACGGAUCUGCAUGGAUCUGCGGGAAAAGGAUUUAUUCGCUCUAGGAUGGACUCGCGUCCAAUUAGCUAGUUGGUGAGGUAACGGCCCACCAAGGCGACGAUUGGUAGCCGGACUGAGAGGUUGAACGGCCACAUUGGGACUGAGACACGGCCCAGACUCCUACGGGAGGCAGCAGUGGGGGAUAUUGCACAAUGGGGGAAACCCUGAUGCAGCGACGCCGCGUGGAGGAAGAAGGUUUUCGGAUUGUAAACUCCUGUCGUUAGGGACGAUAAUGACGGUACCUAACAAGAAAGCACCAGCUAACUACGUG